rnacentral:tRNA from 1 species
AAGAAAGGCCCGAUGGCAGCGUAAACUGCUAAUUAACGUCCCCUUGGUUGGACCCCAAGGCUUUCUUG